GAGGAAGUGACCGAGUGGUUAAGGUGAUGGCCUGCUAAUCCAUUGUGCUUCGCAUGCAUGUGUUUGAAUCCCAUCCUCGUUA